GUUGGUUCUACUUUCGCUUUCCAUUUUGACUUGAGACAAUUUGUGUGCAUGCCAUUAGUCCUCUACAGAUAAAGUUGCUGGAAGGUGAUAUGGCUAUCUCAAUAAUUUCUGGAUUUUCCAGACAUCCAGGCACAUGUGUACUAAUUUCACCAAUAGAUGGCGGACUUGUCGUUUUGAUAACUUCGGAGUAAGUUGUCCUUCAGAAAUCAAUGUACCUUUUAAGCAACCAAGUUGAACUGAAAAAAAAGUCAACUUAAAAUGGACCUGUCUUGGCCGGGACAGGAAAGAAAAUAGAAAAGAUCACAAAAUGAAAAUUCAGUCCACUGAAAAGAAUCUAAUUGCAGAUAAACCUUUGGUAAAAAUAACCCAAAAAAAGGGGGAGACACAUGGCCAACAAGCAUAUGAAAGGAGGCUCAACAUCACUAAGCAUUAAAGAAAUGCAAAUUGAAACCACAGUGAGCUAGCACUCCACACCCCUUAAGAAGGUUAUUAUAAGAAAACAAAGAAAAGGAAAAUAACAAAUGUUGGUGAGGAUGUGGGGAAAUUGGAACCCUUGUGCACUGUUGGUGGAGAUGCAAAAUGGUGCAGCCUCUCUAGAAAACCGUUUGGAGGUUCCUCAAAAAAUUACUAAUAGAAUUGCCAUAUAAUCCAACAAUUCCACUUCUAGGUAUGUAUCCAAAAGUAUUGAAAGGAAGAGCUCCUUUUUUUUUUUUUUUUUUUUUUAAAAAAAGGUAUUUCAAUCAAUUUUAUUUUAUUGUUUAUACUUUUUUCACUUUUUUAUUUUUUUAAAUUAUUAUUCUCAUUUUAUUUAUUUAUUUCAAUAGGUUUUUUUGGGAACAGGUGGUGUUUGGUUACAGAAAUAAGCUCCUUAGUGGCAAUUUCUGAGAUUUUGGUGUACCCAUCACCUGAGCAGUGUAACUGUAUCUAAAUGUGUAUUAUCCCUCAUCCCCCUCCCACCCUUUCCCCCGAGGCCCCAAAGUCCAUUGCAUUUUUCGUCCUCAUAGCUUAGCUUCCACUUAUGAGUGAGAGCAUACAAUGUUUGGUUUUCCAUUCCUGAAUUAAUUCACUUAGAAUAAUGACCUCCAGUUCCAUCCAGGUUGAAAGCAGGGUUUCUUAAGAGAUAUUUGCACACUGAUGUUCAUUACAGCAUUAUUCACAAUAGCCAAGAAUUGGAAGCAACCUAAAUGUCUGUCAAUGGAUGAGUGGAUAAACAAAAUGUGAUAUAUAGUGGGAUAUUAUUCAGCCCUUAAAAAGAAGAAUUUUGUCACAUGCUACAACAAUCUUGAAUUUACAUGCUACAAUGUCACAUGCUACAAUGGAUGAACCUUGAGAAUAUUAUGCUGAGUGAAAUAAGCCAGUCACAAAAUGAGAAAUACUAUAUGCUUCCACUUCUAUGAGGCAUUUAAAGUUGUUGUAUUAGUCCGUGCUAAUGCUGUUAUGAAGAAAUACCCAAGACUGGGUAAUUUAUAAAGAAGAGAGGAUUAACUGACUCACAGUUCCACAUGGCUGGGGAGGCCGCAGGAAACUUAUAAUCAUGGCAGAAGGUACCUCUUCACAGGGUAGCAGGAGAGAGAAUGGUUACAAGCAGGGAAAAGCCCUUACAAAACCAUCAGAUCUUGUGAGAACUCACUCACUAUCAUGAUAAUGGCAUGGGGGAACCUCCCCCAUGAUCUAAUCACCUCCAUGAGGAACCAUGAGGUUCCUCCCCCAACAUGUUUGGAUUAGAAUUCAGAUUAUAAUUCAAAAUGAUAUUUGGGUGGGGACACAGAGCCAGACCAUAUCCAUUGUCAAACUCACAGAAAUACGAAGUAGAAUGGUGGCUGUGAGAAGAUUGGGGAAGAGGAAAUGGGAAGUUGUUUAAUGAAUAUAGAGUUUCAGUUUUGGAAGAUGAAAAAGUUUUAGAGAUAGGUUGUACUACAGUGUGAAUAUACGAAACAUUACUGAACUAUACACUUUAAAAUGGUUAAUACAGUACAUUUUAUGUGUAUUUUACCACAAUUAAAUUGUUUUAAAUAAAAGACACAGAUGAAUAAUGAAAAAGGAGGCAUAACUACCAAUAAAACAAAAACAUGAAAAUAAUAAAGGAAUAUCACCAACACCAAUGAUUUUAUGUAAUAAAAUUGAAAACUUACAAUGUACGAUUAUCUGUCUGUAAAACUGUAUAUCCCAAUAUUUACUCAAGAAGAAAUAGAGAACUUGAAUAGUCCUGUAACUAUAAUGAUAUUUUUUCAGUAGUUUAGAUUUAUACAAAAUAAAACACCAUACCUGGAUUAUUUUAUAGGCAAGUUUAACUAAACAUUCGAUAAAUAGCCUAUUAUACAAAUUUUUCCAAAAAAUAAAACAUGAGGAAAAUCUAAACUCAGUUAAUGAGGUUAGUAGAACUUUGAUUCAAAGAUCAGACAAAGACUGUAGGGGAAAGUAGAGAUUAACCUCACUUUGUGAAUAUAUAUGUAACACAUUUAAAUAAAUACAGACAAACUGAAUCCAAGAAUGAAUGAAUGUACAUCUAUAUCUAUGUCUGUCUAUGAUCUAUCUAUGUAUUUAGUCGCAGGAUGAAAUGAUUUAACACUAGAAAACCUAUUAAUAAAAUUCAUCUGUAAUCCCAGCACUUUGGGAGGCCGAGGUGGGCAGAUCACGACGUCAGGAGAUCGAGACCAUCCUGGCUAACAUGGUGAAACCUCGUCUCUACUAAAAAUACAAAAACAAAAUUAGCCGGGCAUGGUGGCAGGUGCCUGUAGUCCCAGCUAUCGGGAGGCUGAGGUGGGAAAAUGGCGUGAACCUGGGAGGUGGAGCUUGCAGUGAGCCGAGAUUGUGCCACUGCACUCCAGCCUGGGUAACAGAGUGAGACUCCAUCUCAAAAAAAAUGAUAAUAAUAAUAAUCACAUUUACAGAAUAAAGGAAAUACACAUGAUUAUCACAUUAAAUAAAAAUUAUUCCAUAAAAAUAUUCAUUCAUGAUAAAGCUUCUUAUCCAACUAGAAAUAGAAGAACAUUUUCUUAACCUAAUAGAGGAUAUUCUGCCAAAUCUGUAGCAAACAUAUCUAAUGUAGAAAAGUUAAAAACAUUUUCUUUGAAGUCAGCAAAAAAAUAAACAUGCUAUUGUUAAUUUUGUUCAACAGAGUGUAGAACUGUAAAUACGUUGAAAAAGAGAUUUAUAAGAUUUCAGGGUUUUAAAGGAACAAAUACAAGUACAUUUAUUUAUGACUGACAUGUCUAUAUUAUAUAUAUCCAUAUUAUUUAUAGAUAAGAAUUUCUAAAUUAUGCAAGAGAUGAUUGCCCUAGGCAAUGAAUCAUACUAAAUUCAGUCUGCUGGUUACUACUGGGAAAGAUGGAAGGGGAAAGGGAUUAGGGAAAGCUAUGGAAAGGUCUUCGUACCUACGAUUUUUUGUUUUAAGAUCCAAAGUAAAUCUGAUUAAAUGUCAAUAUUUGACAGCUAAGCAAGAG
rnacentral:lncRNA from 10 species